rnacentral:rRNA from 1 species
GACGAACGCUGGCGGCGUGCUUAACACAUGCAAGUCGAACGGAAAGGCCCUGCUUUUGUGGGGUGCUCGAGUGGCGAACGGGUGAGUAACACGUGAGUAACCUGCCCUUGACUUUGGGAUAACUUCAGGAAACUGGGGCUAAUACCGGAUAGGAGCUCCUGCUGCAUGGUGGGGGUUGGAAAGUUUCGGCGGUUGGGGAUGGACUCGCGGCUUAUCAGCUUGUUGGUGGGGUAGUGGCUUACCAAGGCUUUGACGGGUAGCCGGCCUGAGAGGGUGACCGGGGACAUGGGGCCUGAGAUACGGACCAGACUCCUACGGGAGGCAGCAGUGGGGAAUAUUGCACAAUGGGGGGAAGCCUGAUGCAGCAACGCCGCGUGCGGGAUGACGGCCUUCGGGUUGUAAACCGCUUUCGACGGUGACGAAGAGUGAGUGACGGUAAUGGGUAAAGAAGCACCGGCUAACUACGUG